CUCCGCCAUACGCUCCCCCGCUGUGUGGACCUGCGGCACCCAUUGGCGCAGCACCGCGACCUCAUUGACCCCAUUAACCCCAAUGACCCCAAUGACCCACUGUCCCCAACGACCCCAUUGACCCCAUUGACCCCAUUGACCCCAUUGACCCCAAUGUCCCCAUUGACCCCAAUACCCCCAUUGCCCCCAUUAACCCCAUUCACCCCAUUGCCCCCAUUGACCCCAAUACCCCAUUAACCCCAAUACCCCCAUUCACCCCAUUGACCCCAUUGACCCCAAUGUCCCCAUUGACCCCAAUGGCCCCAUUCACCCCAUUAACCCCACUCACCCCAUUAACCCCAUUGCCCCCAUUAACCCCAUUAACCCCAUUAACCCCAUUCACCCCAUUGCCCCCAUUGACCCCAUUAACCCCAUUCACCCCAUUGACCCCAUGACCCCAAUAACCCUACUGACCCCAAUGACCCCAACAACCCCAUUAGCCCCAAUGACCCCAUAACCCCCACGACCUCCGAUGACCCCAUGACCCCACCGUGACCCCAUGACCCCUGACCUCGUUCCCGAUGAUGUCGACGCGGUGCUGGACCUGGGGCACCCAUUGGCGCAGCACCGCGAACAAUUGUGGGAUGGUGGUUUUGGGGUCGAGCAGAAUCUGCUGACAGGCCGCGUCAGUGGGGUCAAAGAACGUGAAGGCUGACGGGGUCAAAGGGCAAAGGUUAAAGCAUGGAGGUCAACUGGGGUCCGAGUCCCAUUAGCGGGGUCCCAUCCCCCAUUAUUGGGGUCUUAUAUCCCAGUAUUGGGGUCCCAUCCCCCAUUAUUGGGCUCCUAUAUCACAUUAUUGGGGUCCCAUCCCCCAUUAUUGGGGUCCUAUACCCCAUUAUUGGGGUCCCAUCCCNGGGGUCCCAUCCCUAUUAUUGGGGUCCUAUUCCUAAUGCUGGGGUCCCAUCCCUAUUAUUGGGGUCCCAGUGCCUCCUAUUGGGGUCCUAUACCCCAUUAUUGGGGUCCUAUACCCGUUAUUGGGGUCCUAUACCCGUUAUUGGGGUCCUAUGACAUUAUUGGGGUCCUAUACCCCAUUAUUGGGGUCCUAUUCCCAUUAUUGGGGUCCCAACCCCCAUUAGUGGGGUCCUAUACCCUGUUAUUGGGGUUCGAUCCCAUUAUUGGGGUCCUAUACCCUGUUAUUGGGGUCCCAGUGAUUCCAAUUGGGGUCCUAUACCCUGUUAUUGGGGUCCUAUACCCCAUUAUUGGGGUCCUAUAUCCCGUUAUUGGGGUCCUAUACCCUGUUAUUGGGGUCCCAUCCCAUUAUUAGGCUCCCAUAACCCGUUAUUGGGGUCCUAUACCCCAUUAUAGGGGUCCUAUUCCCAAUGUUGGGGUCCCAUCCACCAUUAUUGGGGUCCAAUACCCUGUUAUUGGGUCCUAUAACCCCAUUAUUGGGGUCCCUUGUGCCUCCUAUUGGGGUCCCAUGGCCCAUUAUUGG
rnacentral:lncRNA from 1 species